CAAAAUAGAGGUCAAGUUCAAUAAUGACGAUUUUGACUUGUACCGUUCAGGAGUUAUGGUUCUUGAAAGAUCUUAAAAUGGCGUUUCCAUUCACGUUGUUGCAUUUACUCAUGAACCAUUCAAUCUAAGCUUUUCAAAUUUUAAUAUGUUGAUACUGAUGACAAAAUGGAGGUCAAAUUUGAUAUUGACGAUUUUCACUUUCACCAUUCAUCAGUAAUGGUUCUUGUGAUAUUGCCAGGACACAAAUAAAUGUUAAUAAAUCCGGUUUGCUGUCGUUGUGACAGCCUCUUGUUGAUUAUGGGCCCAGUUUUCAAGUUGGUCCAAACCGGGGUCCAAA
rnacentral:lncRNA from 1 species